rnacentral:lncRNA from 1 species
UAGAGACUAACGAACUAGGGAAAUUAUAGACACAAUUCAUGGCGGAUCAUACACAAAAUGAGAUGGUUUAAUUUUAAUAUGUCUAAAAGAGGGGAGACUCCAUUUGUCCAUAUUGAUUAGCCCUCUAAUGUUGCUGGGGAGAUUAGAGAAGAGGGUGAAGACCUUGAUUUCCUCAAGUCUGUGACUUAGCGAGGCUAAUGCAUCAGCUGGCUUUUAGCCUCUCUAAAACAAUGGACAAUGUUAAAUUUAUGGUCUUCAAUCAUCUUCUGAAU